UACCACCACUCUGCUGUUCAGCAACCCUAAAUAAAGAAAAACCCCUGCAGAAUAUCGAUGAUCUAAUAUUAGUCUAUUAACCACGAUUAUAGAUGCCUUUUGUCCCUUUCAAAAACCUAAUUUUAAUUAUCUCUUUUUUGUCGCCGCCUCGCCUCUAUCUGUUUUCGUUCUUUCUUCUCCAUUCCGUUUUAUUCUUCCCCGGUCUAUUUUUUCCUGAUCGUUUUCUUAAUUUGUUCACAUGUACGAUUUAAUAAGAUACAAUUUCUCAGCUGUAGCAACUUCGGUUUCAUCGAUACGAAAUUUUGUUCACAGUGCAUUGGCUUCUUUGCCGACGGUGAACAAGAGUGAUGAUAAGCAACUUCAUAAAACUUCAAUCUGCAGGAGACAAUGGUGUAUCAAAUGUUAGGGAAUUUGGAACUAAAAGUUUGUUGACAAGCUCCAAUGUCGGAGAAUUCCGUCGAAGAUGAUGCGGAAUUAGGUGGUGUCUUUUAUAAGCUGCGGAUUUAACACAAUAUUAGAAACUCCAAACUUAAUACAAGUACUUAUUCUCAGGUUUCAGUACGCCCAGCUCUCUUCGUGAUUAUGCAAACAAAAAAGUUUUUGGGUUGUUAAUGAUGCAAUGGAAUGCACAAGACGUUGGCAUAUGCAGUAGUGAGGUAGUUCUGAGUAUAAUUUCAGUUGAUCCCUAUUAAUGGGCAAAUCACGCAUGUAUUUCUUUUUUCUCUCAAAACAUUGCUUUUUGGUAAAACUUUCAUAGUAUUGUUUUACACCAUUGCAUAUUCAGGUAGCAAUAGAAUACUUUUUGGUCAGUACAUUUCCUAAUGUUUAUAGCUUUUUUCUUCUCUUUUAUAUGUAAGAUUUAGUUGAUUUUGUAUGAACGAAGGACUUUAAGGUAUCAAGUGAAUGGUUUGAUUCUAUUCUUAA